UACGGAGGGUGCAAGCGUUAAUCGGAUUUACUGGGCGUAAAGCGCGCGUAGGCGGCUUGUUAAGUCGGAUGUGAAAGCCCCGGGCUCAACCUGGGAACUGCACUCGAUACUGGCAAGCUAGAGUACGAUAGAGGGUGGUAGAAUUCCUAGUGUAGCGGUGAAAUGCGUAGAUAUUAGGAGGAAUACCGGUGGCGAAGGCGGCCACCUGGAUCGAUACUGACGCUGAGGUGCGAAAGCGUGGGGAGCAAACAGG
rnacentral:rRNA from 1 species